GACGAACGAUGGCGGCGUGCCUAAUACAUGCAAGUCGAGCGCAGGAAACCGUCUGAACCCUUCGGGGGGACGACGGCGGAAUGAGCGGCGGACGGGUGAGUAACACGUAAAGAACCUGCCCACGGGUCUGGGAUAACCACGAGAAAUCGGGGCUAAUACCGGACGGGUCAUCGGACCGCAUGGUCCGAGGAUGAAAGGCGCUCCGGCGUCGCCCGUGGAUGGCUUUGCGGUGCAUUAGCUAGUUGGUGGGGUAACGGCCCACCAAGGCGACGAUGCAUAGCCGGCCUGAGAGGGUGAUCGGCCACACUGGGACUGAGACACGGCCCAGACUCCUACGGGAGGCAGCAGUAGGGAAUCUUCCACAAUGGACGAAAGUCUGAUGGAGCAACGCCGCGUGAACGAUGAAGGCCCUCGGGUCGUAAAGUUCUGUUGUAAGGGAAGAACAAGUGCCGCAGGCAAUGGCGGCACCUUGACGGUACCUUGCGAGAAAGCCACGGCCAACUACGUGCCAGCAGCCGCGGUAAAAC
rnacentral:rRNA from 1 species